rnacentral:lncRNA from 1 species
GGGGCAAUGGAUAAGCAACAAGUUCGGGAGUGUCCCGAGAUCCCAUUCGGUAGCGACUUGGUAAUGGCAACAAAGGACCGUGUGAACCAUAACCAUCAUGUCUAAAUGACGAUGGGUGCUCUCCCAAAAUAGCUUGCCUCUGGCGUCCCUUCCCUCUGUCUGAAUCAUAAUAUUAGCUUCAACAGCAACACAUUUUCAAAGUGGGCUUCUUUCAAGAAGUUUCAGCAUAAGCCAACAAC